UCUCUUCUGCUCUGGAUAAGAUGGAUGUCUUUCCUCUGACCUGUUACCAAGACAGCUGGAUGUGUAGGAAGCUGGAACUAAGUCACUGAAGAAGUAAACCUAUGAAAACCGAUUUGGAUUGUCUGAGAGAUGUAAUUGACUGAGUUCAGGACAAAUGUGUCAACUAUAUUGUAGGCCUAUUACUUAAACAAUAAAAUCACAAUAACUGUUUAUUUUUUGGCUGUAGGACACAAGUAAAAGGAGAAGAAUGCUGCUCAGCUGGGUCGGUGAAGCUCUUGGAUAUCAUCAGCAUCUAUGAAGGCACCGGUAGGCACAGAGUCAUUCCGGUAGGCACGGAGUCGUUCCUCGAUGGACGUGAUGACCUGGCACCAAAACCGCUUAAUGUGUAUGAAGCUGUCUGCAUCGAGGGAAGAACCCAGUACUGAAAUGACACAAGUAAAAGGAGAAGAAUGCUGCUCAGCUGGGUCGGCGGUCACACUACUUAUUCAAGAAGCUCUUGGAUAUCAUUGGCAUGUAUGCAGUAAGUUUUUUAUAUCAAUGCACAACAGCAGGCGUUAAUGCACACACACACACACA